rnacentral:rRNA from 1 species
AACGUAGGUGGCGAGCGUUAUCCGGAUUUACUGGGCGUAAAGGGCGUGCAGGCGGUUUGUUAAGUCCAGGGUGAAAGCUCCCGGCUCAACUGGGAGAGGUCCUUGGAUACUGGCGAACUUGAGGGAUGCAGAGGAAAGUGGAAUUCCCGGUGUAGUGGUGAUAUGCGUAGAUAUCGGGCGGAACACCAGUGGCGAAGGCGGCUUUCUGGGCAGUUCCUGACGCUGAGACGCGAAAGCGUGGGGAGCGAACCGG